AGAGUUUGACUUCCUCAUUUUUGCUUAUGAGGCAGGUAGACAUAUAAUUUCCUUCUUCAGACACCCACAAGUAACAAUUGUCUUUGGACCUUACUCCCUUCAUUAUCAGUCUUCCUUCUUCAUUUGUAACAAGACAUUCUGAUUGUGUGAAGUUCACCUUCAUGCCUUGGUCACAUAGUUGACUGAUGCUAAUCAAAUUUGCUGUAAGUCCU
rnacentral:lncRNA from 1 species